rnacentral:misc_RNA from 1 species
GAUGAAGAACGUAGUGAAAUGCGAUAAGUAAUGUGAAUUGCAGAAUUCAGUGAAUCAUCGAAUCUUUGAACGCACCUUGCGCCCUUUGGCUAUUCCGAAGGGCAUGCCUGUUUGAGUAUCGUGAACACCUCAACUCUCAUGGUUUGCCAUGAUGAGCUUGGACUUUGGGGGUUUUGCUGGCCUUUGGUCGGCUCCUCUCAAACGGAUCAGCUUUCCAGUGUUUGGUGGCGUCACGGGUGUGAUAACUAUCUACGCCUGUGGUUUUCUGCCAGAUAACCUUCAGCGAUGGAGGUUCGCUGGGGCUCAUAAAUGUCUCUCUUCAGUGGAGACAGCUUUUUGGACGUUUGAUCUCAAAUCAGGUAGGUCUACCCGCUGAACUUAAGCAUAUCAAUAAGCGGAGGA